AUUGACCGCUGGCGGCAGGCCUACCACAUGCAAGUCGAACGAGUGGCGGACGGGUGAGUCCUGACUGGGAAACUGCCUGAUGGAGGGGGAUAACUACUGGAAACGGUAGCUACACCCGCAUACCAUCGGAUGUGCCCAGAUGGGAUUAGCUCGUGGGUGGGGUAAAGGCUCACCUAGGCGACGAUCCCUAGCUUGUCUGAGAGGAUGACCAGCCACACUGGAACUGAGACACGGUCCAGACUCCGACGGGAGGCAGCAGUGGGGAAUAUUGCACAAUGGGGGCAAGCCUGAUGCAGCCAUGCCGCGUGUGUGAAGAAGGCCUUCGGGUUGUAAAGCACUUUCAGCGAGGAGGCGUUACUCGCAGAAGAAGCACCGGCUAACUCCGUACCAGCAGCCGCGGUAAUUC
rnacentral:rRNA from 1 species